UUACUUACCUGGAUGGGGUCAAUGGGUGAUCGUGAAGGUCCAUGGCCUAGGCAAGCCACCUCCAUUGCACUUAGGAGGGGGUGCUAGUCUAAGAUCUACCUAAGUGGUGGAGUCUACAUCAUAAUUUGUUGCAGUGGGGGUCUGCGUUCGCGCAGCCCCUCC